ACUCAAAGGAAUUGACGGGGGCCCGCACAAGCGGCGGAGCAUGCGGAUUAAUUCGAUGCAACGCGAAGAACCUUACCUGGGUUUGACAUCGCCGCAAAACUGUCAGAGAUGGCAGGUCCUUCGGGGGCGGUGACAGGUGGUGCAUGGCUGUCGUCAGCUCGUGUCGUGAGAUGUUGGGUUAAGUCCCGCAACGAGCGCAACCCUCAUCCUAUGUUGCCAGCACGUUAUGGUGGGGACUCAUGGGAGACUGCCGGGGUCAACUCGGAGGAAGGUGGGGAUGACGUCAAGUCAUCAUGCCCCUUAUGUCCAGGGCUUCACGCAUGCUACAAUGGCCGGUACAAACCGCUGCGAUACCGUAAGGUUGAGCGAAUCGGAAAAAGCCGGUCUCAGUUCGGAUCGGGGUCUGCAACUCGACCCCGUGAAGUCGGAGUCGCUAGUAAUCGCAGAUCAGCAACGCUGCGGUGAAUACGUUCCCGGGCCUUGUACACACCGCCCGU
rnacentral:rRNA from 1 species